GCUCGCGGUGGAGCCCCGUUACCCUGCCAUCGCUCCGCUGAGCGUCGCGUGAAGCAUCGGUGAUCUGCGAGAUCUUGCUGUGGGCCAGGUAGCCAUUCUCCUGCGGCAGCUGUAGAACCUACGGAGACUAGAGGUUUUGUGGAAGCCAGAAGAAGGCGUUGGAUCCUCCUGGAGCUGGAGCUACAGGCAAUUGUGAACCAAGCAAGGUUGCUGGUAACUGAAGUUGGGUCCUGUGGAAGAACAGGAUGAACUGUUAACUGCUGAGCCAUCUCUCCAGCCCCAAAGAACAUCCACCAUUGUUAGAUCCAUCACCCUGCGUCUAGCUUGGACGUCAUUAAAAGGGCUCAUCAGGAGUAUCUGAUAUUCAGGAAGACAGAGUUUCAGGGUUUCUGCCUGGAGCUACACCCUCCAGAAGCCCCUGCUUGGCUUCCCAGCACCCAACCCCAUCCCAACCAGUUACGACUUGGGAAACUGGAACAAGGACUCCUCCGACUGCGCGCCAAGCCCUUUAUCCUCAGUGAGCAGAAGACCACAGAAGCUGGUUACUGAAGAGGCUGUCCAGAUGGCAGUGAGCCUCAUUGGCCUUGCUUAGCGCCUUUACCACAGAACAGUCACUGAGUGCUGAAUCUGUGCCCAGCACCCGCAGCCACUACAGAGAUUCGUCAGGCCCCACGUCACUAAGGGCCACUCUAGAGAUCCCUCCAGAGAAGGCUAGAAAGAGGCAAUCUUCAUAGGCUCUGCACUGCCUGGAGUCCUACACCUCUGGGGCUGCAGAGAUCAGUAUCUCUUCUCCUGCCUCUAAUCCACAUCCCAACUGGAAAACGCUGUGGACUAUUGUUGUUUUUAUUUUUAUCUUUUUGGCAAGAAGGGUUUUAAAUAUCGCUUCAGUCCCUUCAGUAGUUAUAGUACUACUGAUAAUUUAUUUUUGUCUCUUGUGGAUGUCAUUUUAGAUAUAGUUUCCUAGGAAUUGGUCCAGUUUGUUUGUGUUUCUAAAUUCUCUGGCCUAAAGUUCCACUUUGAAAUUCUCUGCUACAUAUAAUCUAUAACCAUGUCGCCUUUUUCCUUGCUGAUACUGGUUAUUUGUGCCUUCUCCCUUUUUUUCCUGAUCAAUCUCGGCAGAGGUUUGUCUCUUUUAUUAGUCUUUACGAAGAACCAGCUUUUGGCUUUGUUGCUCCUCUCUAUUGUGUCUUUGUUCUCUAUUUCUUUAAUGUCUGCGCUUAUCUUUUUUGACCUUCUUCCUUCCACAUUUUUUGGAUUUAUUCUACUGUUGUUUUUCUGACUUCUUAAAUUGUAUAUUGAGCUCAUUCAUUUUCAGUAUUUUUUUUUCUUUUUCUGUUUGCUUGUUUUUGAUGUUUGUUUUUCUUUGAGACAGGAUCUCACUCUAUAGCCUAAGCUAACCUCAGAUUCAUGAUAAUCUCUUCCCUAGCCUCCCCAGUGCAGGGAUUACAGGCAUGAGGCGCUGAGCCUAGCUUUCAGCCUUUCUUGUUUUCUAAUUUAUAUAUUUAAAAGCUACAAUUUUCCUGCUAGUGCUACUUUCUUACUUUCUUACAUAAUGAUAUAUUGUAGUAAUUUCAUUACUGUUCAGUUCCAGGAGCUUCAGCAUAUCUAUUAUCAUUGCUUAUUUGACUCGUGAAUUAUACAGAGGUAUGUUUAAGUUCCCAGAUGUUUGGGGGAUUUUUAAGGUUGUUCUAUUAUAGAAAUCUAUCUUAAUUAAUGUUCAGAUGAUGUGGUUUAUGUGAUAACUGAAAUUUAUUGAGACUUGUUCUAUUGCUUAGUACAUGAUUGAUAAUUAUUAAUGUUUCCUAUGUGCUCUUUAAGAAUGUGUGUCCUCUAAUUGAAUAUACAGAUCUACAUGUGACUAUUAGCAACGAUCUUAUUCAAGUUGUAUUUAUGUAAACUGAUUGUUUUUGUUAUGAACUACCAGUAAUUUUAAAACUCUGACACUGGAAUUACCUGUUUUCUUCUUAUAGUUUCCUUUUUUAACAUAAAUUAAGAAUUGUUAUAUUUCUGGUAAAUGUGUAAUAUCCUCUCUAUUUCUGAUAAUAGAGGAAUUCUGCUAGAUUAUCUUGUAUUGAUGUAACAGCACAAGCUUUUAUUCUUGUUAGGGUUUGUGUGGCAUAAUUUUCUAUCUUUUUACUUUUAAGAAUUUUUUACACCUUUGUGUUUUAAUUUAUAUUUAUUGAAAACAGCAUAUGGCUGGACAUUUUUUAAAAAUCUAAUCUAAGGCUGGGUGUGGUGGCGCAC